GAGUGACAUGAUGGCAUACCAUCUUUCGGGACUGACUCUUUUUGUGGAGAGUUUCUUGUAUUACACUGAUCACUC